rfam:Triticum aestivum genome assembly, contig: Triticum_aestivum_CS42_TGACv1_scaffold_030592_1BL
AACGUACUCCCUCAGUCUGAAAAUAGUUGUCAUCAAAAUGGAUAAAAAGAGAUGUAUCUAGAACUAAAAUACAUCUAGAUACGUCCCCUUUUAUCUAGUUUGAUGUCAAGUAUUUCCGGACGGAGGGAGCAUGUA